GCUAAACGCGAAGAACCUUACCUGGCCUUGACAUGUCUGGAAUCCCGAAGAGAUUUGGGAGUGCCGCAAGGAACCAGAACACAGGUGCUGCAUGGCUGUCGUCAGCUCGUGUCGUGAGAUGUUGGGUUAAGUCCCGCAACGAGCGCAACCCUUGUCCUUAGUUGCCAGCGAGUAAUGUCGGGAACUCUAAGGAGACUGCCGGUGACAAACCGGAGGAAGGUGGGGAUGACGUCAAGUCCUCAUGGCCCUUACGGCCAGGGCUACACACGUACUACAAUGGUCGGUACAGAGGGUUGCCAAACCGCAAGGUGGAGCCAAUCCCAGAAAGCCGAUCCCAGUCCGGAUCGGAGUCUGCAACUCGACUCCGUGAAGUCGGAAUCGCUAGUAAUCGCGGAUCAGCUAUGCCGCGGUGAAUACGUUCCCGGGUCUUGUACACACCG
rnacentral:rRNA from 1 species